rnacentral:rRNA from 1 species
UACAGAGGGUGCGGGCGUUAAUCGGAAUUACUGGGCGUAAAGCGCGCGUAGGCGGCUUUGCAAGUCGAGUGUGAAAUCCCCAGGCUUAACCUGGGAACUGCAUUCGAGACUGCAUAGCUAGAGUAUGGGAGAGGGAAGUGGAAUUUCAGGUGUAGCGGUGAAAUGCGUAGAUAUCUGAAGGAACAUCAGUGGCGAAAGCGACUUCCUGGACCAAUACUGACGCUCAUGUGCGAAAGCGUGGGGAGCAAACAGG